GUGAGAUGGAUAUUCAAUUAGGUACAAUGACUCUAAGAGGUUGAGUGAUUGAGGACAGAGAAGAGAUCACUGGGCUGGAGCAAAGCUGUGGGGGACCCUGAUGAGCAUUUUACUGAAAAGUUUCUGCUGCAAUCUCACCAAAACUAUGGGCAAGACCUCCCCUUAAGAGCCUAUCGAGACCCCUGCCCCUCAGCAGAGUGAAAAGGACAUCUGCUUCUGCUUCGGAGGUUUACACCAGCCCAGCCCAAGGAGGCUGAGGAAGGGCUGCCUCGGGUAAUAGGAAUGUGGCUGUGACAGUGACAUCUCAGAGAGACGUUCAGUUACCACUGAGGUGCUUUGCUCAGACUCGGUGGGAUUUAUACACAACUGGAUGCCAAGGGGCAACGUUCUCCUCUCCCCUCACACUCUCCCUCCUUAAGAAGCAGUGCU